AGUGAACGCUGGCGGUAGGCCUAACACAUGCCAGUCGAACGGCAGCACAGUAAGAGCUUGCUCUUACGGGUGGCGAGUGGCGGACGAGUGAGGAAUACAUCGGAAUCUACUUUUUUGUGGGGGAUAACGUAGGGAAACUUACGCUAAUACCGCAUACGACCUACGGGUGAAAGCAGGGGAUCUUCGGACCUUGCGCGAUUGAAUGAGCCGAUGUCGGAUUAGCUAGUUGGCGGGGUAAAGGCCCACCAAGGCGACGAUCCGUAGCUGGUCUGAGAGGAUGAUCAGCCACACUGGAACUGAGACACGGUCCAGACUCCUACGGGAGGCAGCAGUGGGGAAUAUUGGACAAUGGGCGCAAGCCCGAUCCAGCCAUACCGCGUGGGUGAAGAAGGCCUUCGGGUUGUAAAGCCCUUUUGUUGGGAAAGAAAAGCAGCAGGUUAAUACCCCGCUGUUCUGACGGUACCCAAAGAAUAAGCACCGGCUAACUUCGUG
rnacentral:rRNA from 1 species